rnacentral:lncRNA from 1 species
CUCUGUGAUGGCAUCAAGUGGCUUGUCCCAGGUAAUUGCAACACAUGGUUGUGUUCAACAACUAACUCAUGCACCUCAUAAUUUCCUGCUUCUCAGUCUAUAGUGAUUCCCAUUCGAACAUUGCAGCCGGUCCUUGUUUCUGCACGAGGACGCUUUGUAUUAUUAUCCCUUUUGUCUUUUCUUCUGUAGCCCUCAUUGGAACAAACAUAUCUUGCUGAAGUGAUUACUCCAUCAAGUUUGCUCUUGUUUUCAUAAUUUAUCCUUACAUCAAAACCAAUAUGACCUCCAUAACAUGUCCAAAAGUUCCAAGCCUCUUUUGUGGAAUGAAAUUUCAUACCAAUCUGAGGCAUCCAACUAGGAACCACAUUUGUCCUAUAAAAAUUACACAUAACUUAUUUGUUUGUAUGCUUACACUACAAUCAUAAGAUGAUAUGACCUGAGAAUUUAACAAAAUUGUCGGUACCUGUUAGCAUCCUCAUUAGAGGUAGUCAUAUUCUCCAUUGGACCUUAUCUUCCCCUUUUUGUGUAAUCUGUGAUAUAAUAGCAAACUCAGUCCAAAAAUUCCCUUGCUGCCUUGAGAACAUUAAUACAAUCAGAACAUGUGUCACAUACCUUAAGAAUGAUCGUCUUCUUUUUUGUUGCUAGGAGAAGGACAACAAAAGAGAGAUCGUCUGCAUUAAUCUCCUGUCAUGUUUUGGAAAUCCCAGGUACUUGAUGAGCAAAUCACCUGUGUUACAAGUAAAUAUUUGGAUACAUUCAUGCAUUUUAUCUUGAGCUUGUCCAAAACAAUAGAGAUCACUUCUAUUAAAAUUAUUUCUUUUCACUCUGACAUACUCUAAAAGAUGCAGAAAAUAAGUUUUGCAUCUUGUCCUUAUCAUCCUCCAUUCAGAAAAUAGUAGCAUCACAAACUCAAUCUACGAAUUGUGUGCCUUCAGAACAUGAAUACAAUCAGAGUGUAUGUCACAUACCUUCUGAUUUAUUGUCUUCUUUUUUGUUGCUAGUAGAAGGAAGACAAAAGGGAGAUAAUCUUCAUCGCCUACAGAUCAGCUUGCCUUGGUUUCACUCUGAACAUGGGGGAUGAUCAGAAGAGAGAUAAGGCAAAAGGGAGUUGAUCUCGCCACCUACAGACCACAGAUGAACGUACCUCCGCCAUGUUCUUUUACAAGGACGAGCAAGAGGAACGGGGAAGAUGAGCAGGACGAAGGCAAAUAGAUCGUAGAGGAGCCGAACCCAUCGAUCGCUGUUUGUCGCCAACGCGAUUAUUAGGGUGGUGUUUUGUUUGGCGCCAAUGUGAGUCUUCGUGGUUCUGUUUGGCGCCAAUGUGAGUCUUCGUGGUUCUGUUUGGCGCCAAUCUUGCAACCGUACAAGAUUUUCUACCACAUAAUUAGGUGUUUGUUUCCAUCUAUUAACAGAAUCGGGUGGGGGUAAUGAGAGCCGUGAGAUUUAAAUGAAUGGCUGAUCUGGGUUGGUACAGUACCCGUGCAGUAAUAACGUGACUGCAGAUGAGCCGAACCCCGAGAUUGCGGCUAGAUGACAUCGGCUGCAUGUGGCAAGACAUGCAUAAAUACUAAUUGGUAUAAACUACGAGAUGAAGAACCUAGAAAGUCAGAUUAGAAGUAAGUUAGAUGUUAUUUUGAUUAUUUUAUUUUGAGGAAUCGUACAAUCAGAUUGUAGUUUUGAUUUUCCUGGGUUGGACACGUUGGGCCUCUUAAUUUAUGAAUAACUUUUUGUUGACAAAUUUUGUGUGUGCAAAGAAAGCACAUGGGCAGCGGAUCAGUGUACCCAAUAAUGAGUAAUCUAUCACAUCAUGCUUCCGAUAUAUACUUUGUAGUACUACUAUUUUAUGGGUGUCCUACAUAAAAGGACAUGUAAGAGACAACAUUACAAACAUUAUUAUUUUUUCAUUAUAUUGGAAAACAAAGGAUAUCCAUGUGAUCAAAGAAAAUUCAUACCUAUUUUG